rnacentral:rRNA from 1 species
GGUUGCGAUCAUACCAGCACUAAUGCACCGGAUCCCAUCAUAACUCCGCAGUUAAGCGUGCUUGGGCGAGAGUAGUACUAGGAUGGGUGACCCCCUGGGAAGUCCUCGUGUUGCAACCCGC